rnacentral:lncRNA from 1 species
GUGUGGUGAUAUUAGCAUAAACAUGUAAUACAUUGCACAUUUUAAGAUGCUUGAUGCAGAUCUUGCAGACUAAGCUGUCAAAUUCACUGCUAAGGUAUCCGAGGACCAAGAAUGCCUCCUUGAGAAAUUUAAGUUCAUUUAUUAUGUCCGCUUCCUCUGUACAAAGUUUAUAUGCUCGCCAAAUGAGUGCGGAGAUGCUAGCGUCCUUGUAUUUAGCUGCGUCUUUGGAACGCUGGUGUAUGAGACUAAACCUGCUACUGGGUUUUCUGUAGACGGAGAUAGAGAAAAAAUUAGUUUUCUUUGUA